UACGUAGGUGGCAAGCGUUAAUCGGAAUUACUGGGCGUAAAGCGUGCGCAGGCGGUUCGGCAAGAGAGGUGUGAAAUCCCAGGGCUUAACCUUGGAACUGCACUUUUAACUACCGGGCUAGAGUACGUCAGAGGGGGGUAGAAUUCCACGUGUAGCAGUGAAAUGCGUAGAGAUGUGGAGGAAUACCGAUGGCGAAGGCAGCCCCCUGGGAUGAUACUGACGCUCAUGCACGAAAGCGUGGGGAGCAAACAGG
rnacentral:rRNA from 1 species